UACGGAGGGGGCUAGCGUUGUUCGGAAUUACUGGGCGUAAAGCGCACGUAGGCGGAUCAGUCAGUCAGGGGUGAAAUCCCGGGGCUCAACCCCGGAACUGCCUUUGAUACUGCUGGUCUGGAGGAUGGGAGAGGCGAGUGGAAUUCCGAGUGUAGAGGUGAAAUUCGUAGAUAUUCGGAGGAACACCAGUGGCGAAGGCGGCUCGCUGGCCCAUUACUGACGCUGAGGUGCGAAAGCGUGGGGAGCAAACAGG
rnacentral:rRNA from 1 species